AAAAACUGAAGCAUAAUCAGAGUGAAAAAUGUGCCAAAAGCACACUGCCAGGUUCAAAUCAUGGAAACCCAAAUGAGAGCUUUGACUAGAUGUCAAAGCAGAAUUUCAUGUCCCACAUGAACAACACCCUACAAAGUAGUAUUGCUAAAAAUCUACCUGUUUUUGUCUUUAUCAAAUAGACAUAAUCAAUGAUCCAGAUUUUCCUAGCUAUCCUAACAAAGGGUCUAAACAGCAAGUUGCUUUUGAUGGGUGG
rnacentral:misc_RNA from 1 species